rnacentral:rRNA from 1 species
UACCCCAUAAUAUACUGGAUGGCAUCAUUCGGUAUUGAAAACUCCGGUGGAUAGAGAUGGGCACGCGCAAGAUUAGAUAGUUGGUGAGGUAACGGCUCACCAAGUCUGCGAUCUUUAGGGGGCCUGAGAGGGUGAUCCCCCACACUGGUACUGAGACACGGACCAGACUCCUACGGGAGGCAGCAGUGAGGAAUAUUGGACAAUGGGUGAGAGCCUGAUCCAGCCAUCCCGCGUGAAGGACGACGGCCCUAUGGGUUGUAAACUUCUUUUGUAUAGGGAUAAACCUACUCUCGUGAGAGUAGCUGAAGGUACUAUACGAAUAAGCACCGGCUAACUCCGUGCCAGCAGCCGCGGUAAUACGGAGGGUGCAAGCGUUAUCCGGAUUUAUUGGGUUUAAAGGGUCCGUAGGCGGAUUUGUAAGUCAGUGGUGAAAUCUCACAGCUUAACUGUGAAACUGCCAUUGAUACUGCAAGUCUUGAGUGUUGUUGAAGUAGCUGGAAUAAGUAGUGUAGCGGUGAAAUGCAUAGAUAUUACUUAGAACACCAAUUGCGAAGGCAGGUUACUAAGCAACAACUGACGCUGAUGGACGAAAGCGUGGGGAGCGAACAGGAUUAGAUACCCUGGUAGUCCACGCCGUAAACGAUGCUAACUCGUUUUUGGGCUUUCGGGUUCAGAGACUAAGCGAAAGUGAUAAGUUAGCCACCUGGGGAGUACGAACGCAAGUUUGAAACUCAAAGGAAUUGACGGGGGCCCGCACAAGCGGUGGAUUAUGUGGUUUAAUUCGAUGAUACGCGAGGAACCUUACCAAGGCUUAAAUGGGAAAUGACAGGUUUAGAAAUAGACUUUUCUUCGGACAUUUUUCAAGGUGCUGCAUGGUUGUCGUCAGCUCGUGCCGUGAGGUGUUAGGUUAAGUCCUGCAACGAGCGCAACCCCUGUCACUAGUUGCCAUCAUUAAGUUGGGGACUCUAGUGAGACUGCCUACGCAAGUAGAGAGGAAGGUGGGGAUGACGUCAAAUCAUCACGGCCCUUACGCCUUGGGCCACACACGUAAUACAAUGGCCGGUACAGAGGGCAGCUACACAGCGAUGUGAUGCAAAUCUCGAAAGCCGGUCUCAGUUCGGAUUGGAGUCUGCAACUCGACUCUAUGAAGCUGGAAUCGCUAGUAAUCGCGCAUCAGCCAUGGCGCGGUGAAUACGUUCCCGGG